rnacentral:rRNA from 1 species
UACGAACUGUGCGAACGUUAUUCGGAAUCACUGGGCUUACAGGGUGCGUAGGCGGCUCAACAAGUCAGGUGUGAAAGCCCCCGGCUCAACCGGGGAACUGCGCUUGAAACUGUUAGGCUCGAGUCAGCUAGAGGUACACGGAACUUCCAGUGGAGCGGUGAAAUGUGUUGAUAUUGGAAGGAACACCGGAGGCGAAAGCGGUGUACUGGGGCUGGUCUGACGCUGAGGCACGAAAGCCAGGGGAGCGAAUGGG